GGCUUGGGGCAGGUGUCAGAGCAGGUCUCAGAGUAAGUCUUCAGACAGGUCUCGGGGAAGGUGAAGGAGCAGGGCUUGGGGCAGAUCUCAGAGCUGGUCUCAGGGCAGGUCUCGGGGAAGGUGAUGGAGCAAGGCUUGGAGCAGAUCUCGGAGCUGGUCUCAGGGCAGGUCUCGGGGAAGGUGAAGGAGCAAGGAUCGGAGCAGAUCUCGGAGCAGGUCUCAGGGCAAGUCCUCAGACAGGUCUCGG